UGGGGAAUAUUGCACAAUGGGCGCAAGCCUGAUGCAGCCAUGCCGCGUGUGUGAAGAAGGCCUUCGGGUUGUAAAGCACUUUCAGCGAGGAGGAAGGUGGUGAGCUUAAUACGCUCAUCAAUUGACGUUACUCGCAGAAGAAGCACCGGCUAACUCCGUGCCAGCAGCCGCGGUAAUACGGAGGGUGCAAGCGUUAAUCGGAAUUACUGGGCGUAAAGCGCACGCAGGCGGUUUGUUAAGUCAGAUGUGAAAUCCCCGGGCUCAACCUGGGAACUGCAUUUGAAACUGGCAAGCUAGAGUCUCGUAGAGGGGGGUAGAAUUCCAGGUGUAGCGGUGAAAUGCGUAGAGAUCUGGAGGAAUACCGGUGGCGAAGGCGGCCCCCUGGACGAAGACUGACGCUCAGGUGCGAAAGCGUGGGGCAGCAAACAGGAUUAGAUACCCUGGUAGUCCACGCUGUAAAACGAUGUCGAUUUUGGAGGUUGUGCCCUUGAGGCGUGGCUUCCGGAGCUAACGCGUUAAAUCGACCGUCUGGGGAGUACGGCCGCAAGGUUAAAACUCAAAUGAAUUG
rnacentral:rRNA from 1 species